CUAAGGAAUAUUACGGAAACCCCACACAUUCGUCAUUACUUUGAUCAGUUUUGAGAGGUCUAAUCUUCUCAACUGAAAUUUGUUCUUUGAAAACUGGAUAUUGUAAGAAAGCAAUUUAUGAAAAAAGAAACAAUGUAUACACCGCGUUUUAAAUGAGUUUUUUAACGUUCUUAUCGUAAGAUAAAACGUAUUAACGACAAUCUUGAGUAAUCAAAAUA
rnacentral:misc_RNA from 1 species